UACGGGGGGGGCAAGCGUUGUUCGGAAUUACUGGGCGGAAAGGGCUCGUAGGCGGCCAACUAAGUCGGAUGUGAAAUCCCCAGGCUUAACCUGGGAACUGCAUCCGAUACUGGAUGGCUUGAAUCCGGGAGAGGGAUGCAGAAUUCCAGGUGUAGCGGUGAAAUGCGUAGAUAUCUGGAGGAAUACCGGUGGCGAAGGCGGCAUCCUGGACCGGCAUUGACGCUGAUGAGCGAAAGCUAGGGGAGCAAACAGG
rnacentral:rRNA from 1 species